GAUGAACGCUAGCUACAGGCUUAACACAUGCAAGUCGAGGGGAAACGAUAUUGGAAGCUUGCUUCCGAUAGGCGUCGACCGGCGCACGGGUGAGUAACGCGUAUCCAACCUGCCCAUCACUUGGGGAUAACCUUGCGAAAGUAAGACUAAUACCCAAUGACGUCUCUAGAAGACAUCUGAAGGAGAUUAAAGAUUUAUCGGUGAUGGAUGGGGAUGCGUCUGAUUAGCUUGUUGGCGGGGUAACGGCCCACCAAGGCGACGAUCAGUAGGGGUUCUGAGAGGAAGGUCCCCCACAUUGGAACUGAGACACGGUCCAAACUCCUACGGGAGCAGCAGUGAGGAAUAUUGGGUCAAUGGACGAGAGUCUGAACCAGCCAAGUAGCGUGCAGGAUGACGGCCCUAUGGGUUGUAAACUGCUUUUAUAAGGGAAUAAAGUGAGUCUCGUGAGACUUUUGCAUGUACCUUAUGAAUAAGGACGGCUAAUUCCGUGCCAGCAG
rnacentral:rRNA from 1 species